rnacentral:rRNA from 1 species
UACGGAGGGAGCUAGCGUUGUUCGGAAUUACUGGGCGUAAAGCGCACGUAGGCGGCUUUGUAAGUUAGAGGUGAAAGCCCGGGGCUCAACUCCGGAACUGCCUUUAAGACUGCAUCGCUUGAAUCCGGGAGAGGUGAGUGGAAUUCCGAGUGUAGAGGUGAAAUUCGUAGAUAUUCGGAAGAACACCAGUGGCGAAGGCGGCUCACUGGACCGGUAUUGACGCUGAGGUGCGAAAGGCGUGGG